rnacentral:rRNA from 1 species
AGAGUUUGAUCAUGGCUCAAAUUGAACGCUGGCGGCAUGCUUUACACAUGCAAGUCGAACGGCAGCACGGGAGCUUGCUCCUGGUGGCGAGUGGCGAACGGGUGAGUAAUAUAUCGGAACGUGUCCAAUAAUGGGGGAUAACUAGUCGAAAGAUUAGCUAAUACCGCAUACGCCCUGAGGGGGAAAGUGGGGGAUCUUCGGACCUCACGUUGAUGGAGCGGCCGAUAUCUGAUUAGCUAGUUGGUGGGGUAAAGGCCCACCAAGGCGACGAUCAGUAGCUGGUCUGAGAGGACGACCAGCCACACUGGGACUGAGACACGGCCCAGACUCCUACGGGAGGCAGCAGUGGGGAAUUUUGGACAAUGGGGGCAACCCUGAUCCAGCCAUGCCGCGUGAGUGAAGAAGGCCUUCGGGUUGUAAAGCUCUUUCGCAAGGGAAGAAACGAUUUAGACGAAUAAUCUAAGUUAAUGACGGUACCUUGAUAAGAAGCACCGGCUAACUACGUGCCAGCAGCCGCGGUAAUACGUAGGGUGCGAGCGUUAAUCGGAAUUACUGGGCGUAAAGCGAGCGCAGGCGGUUCUGCAAGUCAGAUGUGAAAUCCCCGGGCUCAACCUGGGAACUGCGUUUGACACUACAGAGCUAGAGUAUGGCAGAGGGAGGUAGAAUUCCACGUGUAGCAGUGAAAUGCGAAAGAUGUGCAGGAUUACCAAUGGCGAAGGCAGCCUCCUGGUCUAAUACUGACGCUCAUGCUCGAAAGCGUGAGGAGCAAACAGGAUUAUAUACCCUGAUAGUCCACGCCCUAACGAUGUCUACUACUUGUUGCUGUAGUAAAAUCCAUUAAUAACGCAGCUAACGCGUGAAAUAUGCCUGCCUGGAGAGUACCGUCGCAGAUUAAUACUCACAGGAUUGACGG